rnacentral:ncRNA from 1 species
AAGAAUACGGUUGCAAGGAAAGUAGUUAACGCGUUUUCCGCUCAGAAAGAUAUCGGAUAAUGCGAGAUAUCAAAACGUUGUUAAUGAAUUACAUCUUGAAGAAAAAUACCGCGGCUCACUCCCGUUAUAGGGUGUAAUGAAGUGGUACGUUGAUGAUUUAGUUAGCGUACAAUUAGGGUGGUAACACGGUGUAUUCGUCCCUUUG